rnacentral:rRNA from 2 species
UGGGGAAUAUUGCACAAUGGGGGAAACCCUGAUGCAGCGACGCCGCGUGAACGAAGAAGGUAUUCGUAUCGUAAAGUUCUGUCCUAUGGGAAGAUAAUGACAGUACCAUAGAAGAAAGCUCCGGCUAAAUACGUGCCAGCAGCCGCGGUAAUACGUAUGGAGCGAGCGUUGUCCGGAAUUAUUGGGCGUAAAGGGUACGCAGGCGGUUUAAUAAGUCGAAUGUUAAAGAUCGGGGCUCAACCCCGUAAAGCAUUGGAAACUGAUAAACUUGAGUAGUGGAGAGGAAAGUGGAAUUCCUAGUGUAGUGGUGAAAUACGUAGAUAUUAGGAGGAAUACCAGUAACGAAGGCGACUUUCUGGACACAAACUGACGCUGAGGUACGAAAGCGUGGGGAGCAAACAGG